UGCGGACAGUGUCUGGUGGGUAGUUUGACUGGGGCGGUCUCCUCCUAAAGAGUAACGGAGGAGCACGAAGGUUGGCUAAUCCUGGUCGGACAUCAGGAGGUUAGUGCAAUGGCAUAAGCCAGCUUGACUGCGAGCGUGACGGCGCGAGCAGGUGCGAAAGCAGGUCAUAGUGAUCCGGUGGUUCUGAAUGGAAGGGCCAUCGCUCAACGGAUAAAAGGUACUCCGGGGAUAACAGGCUGAUACCGCCCAAGAGUUCAUAUCGACGGCGGUGUUUGGCACCUCGAUGUCGGCUCAUCACAUCCUGGGGCUGAAGUAGGUCCCAAGGGUAUGGCUGUUCGCCAUUUAAAGUGGUACGCGAGCUGGGUUUAGAACGUCGUGAGACAGUUCGGUCCCUAUCUGCCGUGGGCGCUGGAGAACUGAGGGGGGCUGCUCCUAGUACGAGAGGACCGGAGUGGACGCAUCACUGGUGUUCGGGUUGUCAUGCCAAUGGCACUGCCCGGUAGCUAAAUGCGGAAGAGAUAAGUGCUGAAAGCAUCUAAGCACGAAACUUGCCCCGAGAUGAGUUCUCCCUGAGACUUAGAGUCUCCUGAAGGAACGUUGAAGACGACGACGUUGAUAGGCCGGGUGUGUAAGCGCAGCGAUGCGUUGAGCUAACCGGUACUAAUGAACCGUGAGGCUUAACCUUACAACGCCGAAG
rnacentral:rRNA from 2 species